rnacentral:rRNA from 1 species
AGUGAACGCUGGCGGUAGGCCUAACACAUGCAAGUCGAACGGCAGCACAGUAAGAGCUUGCUCUUACGGGUGGCGAGUGGCGGACGGGUGAGGAAUACAUCGGAAUCUACUUUUUCGUGGGGGAUAACGUAGGGAAACUUACGCUAAUACCGCAUACGACCUACGGGUGAAAGUAGGGGAUCUUCGGACCUUGCGCGAUUGGAUGAGCCGAUGUCGGAUUAGCUAGUUGGCGGGGUAAAGGCCCACCAAGGCGACGAUCCGUAGCUGGUCUGAGAGGAUGAUCAGCCACACUGGAACGGAGACACGGUCCAGAGUCCUACGGGAGGCAGCAGUGGGGAAUAUUGGACAAUGGGCGCAAGCCUGAUCCAGCCAUACCGCGUGGGUGAAGAAGGCCUUCGGGUUGUAAAGCCCUUUUGUUGGGAAAGAAAAGCAGCAGGUUAAUACCCCGCUGUUCUGACGGUACCCAAAGAAUAAGCACCGGCUAACUUCGUG